rnacentral:rRNA from 1 species
UACGUAGGUGGCAAGCGUUUGUCCGGAAUUACUGGGCGUAAAGGGCGCGUAGGCGGCACCUUAAGUCAGAUGUGAAAACCCAGGGCUCAACUUUGGGACUGCAUUUGAAACUGAGGAGCUAGAGUGCCGGAGAGGAAAGCGGAAUUCCACGUGUAGCAGUGAAAUUCGUAGAUAUUGGGAAGAACACCGGUGGCGAAGGCGGCGAGCUGGUCCAUUACUGACGCUGAGGCGCGACAGCGUGGGGAGCAAACAGG